AGAACGAACGCUGGCGGCGUGGAUAAGACAUGCAAGUCGAACGGGAUAUCACGAGUAGCAAUAUGAGUGAUGUUCAGUGGCGAACGGGUGCGUAACACGUGGAUACAUUCCGGGAAGCGGGGGAUAGCCCAGGGAAACUUGGAUUAAUACCGCAUGUGGUCGAAAGACGUAAAGACGGGGGACCGCAAGGCCUGUCACUUCCCGAUUGGUCCGCGGCCUAUCAGCUAGUUGGCGGGGUAAAGGCCCACCAAGGCUACGACGGGUAGCUGGUCUUAGAGGACGACCAGCCACACUGGAACUGAGACACGGUCCAGACACCGUACGGGUGGCAGCAGUCGAGAAUCUUUCACAAGUGGGGGCAACCCUGAUGGAGCGACGCCGGCGUGGAGGAUAAGGUCUUGGAUUGUAAACUCCUGUCAUGCGUAGAAC
rnacentral:rRNA from 1 species